UAAUUCUUUCGCGUUUCAAUU
rnacentral:piRNA from 1 species